rnacentral:rRNA from 1 species
GAUGAACGCUGACAGAAUGCUUAACACAUCAGCAAUUGAUUGGUGGCGGACGGGUGAGUAAUGCGUAAAGAUGUUGCCUAACAGCUAGGGGCAACAUUUGGAAAAGAAUGCUAAUACCUAAUAUUGUAAGGUAGCUUUGCGUACCAUUAGCAAGUUGGAGAGGUAACGGCUCACGAAGGCGAUGAUGGGUAGCCAGCCUGAGAGGGUGAUCGGCCCAAAGCUGACUGAGCCACAGCCCUUACUCCUACGGGAGGAAGGAGUGGGAAAUAUUGGACAAUAGACCAAAGUCUGAUCCAGCAAUUCUGUGUGCACAAUGAAUUUUUCGGAAUGUAAAGUGCUUUCAUAUUGGAAGCGGUACCAACAGAAGAAGUGACGGCUAAAUACGUGCCAGCCGCCGCGGUAAUUC